UUUCUACCACCAAAGUUGUUGUAACAUAAGGUAGGACAAAUGGAGAAAUUAAUUUAUCUACAAUUCUGUUCUUCUGCUAUUAUAAUGACUCAUUAGGUGCUUUGGAUGAUUUUCAAGCCUCAAUCUCACUUGUGCUUCUUAAAGGUACAAGUUGUAGCGUAUACACCAUAUUCAGUCAGUUCGCAGCUUCCAGUCAGCAG